AGAGUUUGAUCCUGGCUCAGAAUCAACGCUGGCGGCGCGCCUAACACAUGCAAGUCGAACGAGAAAGUGGAGCAAUCCAUGAGUACAGUGGCGUACGGGUGAGUAACACGUGGGUAAUCUACCUCUUAGUGUGGAAUAACUCUGGGAAACUAGAGCUAAUACCGCAUAAGCUCGAGAGAGGAAAGCAGCAAUGCGCUGAGAGAGGAGCCCGCGGCCGAUUAGCUAGUUGGCAGGGUAAAAGCCUACCAAGGCAUAGAUCGGUAGCCGGCCUGAGAGGGCACACGGCCACACUGGCACUGAAACACGGGCCAGACUCCUACGGGAGGCAGCAGUGGGGAAUCUUGCACAAUGGGGGAAACCCUGAUGCAGCGACGCCGCGUGAGCGAUGAAGCCCUUCGGGGUGUAAAGCUCUUUCGGCAGGGAAGAUAGUGACGGUACCUGCAGAAGCAGCUGCGGCUAACUACGUGCCAGCAGCCGCGGUAAUACGUAGGCAGCGAGCGUUGUUCGGAGUUACUGGGCGUAAAGGGUGUGUAGGCGGUUGUUUAAGUUUGGUGUGAAAUCUCCCGGCUCAACUGGGAGGGUGCGCCGAAUACUGAAUGACUAGAGUACGGGAGAGGAAAGUGGAAUUCCUGGUGUAGCGGUGAAAUGCGUAGAUAUCAGGAGGAACACCGGUGGUGUAGACGGCUUUCUGGACCGUAACUGACGCUGAGACACGAAAGCGUGGGUAGCAAACAGGAUUAGAUACCCUAGUAGUCC
rnacentral:rRNA from 1 species